rnacentral:misc_RNA from 1 species
UUUCCGUAGGUGAACCUGCGGAAGGAUCAUUAUCGAGUUUUGACUGGGCUGUAGCUGGCCUUCCGAGGCAUGUGCACGCCCUGCUCAUCCACUCUACACCUGUGCACUUACUGUGGGUAUCAGAUCGUGAAGCGUGCUCUUUUACCGGAGCUUGUGAAGCGUGUCUGUGCCUGCGUUUAUCACAAACACUAUAAAGUAUCAGAAUGUGUAUUACGAUGUAACGCAUCUAUAUACAACUUUCAGCAACGGAUCUCUUGGCUCUU